AGCCAGACUCCUACGGGAGGCAGCAGUGGGGAAUAUUGCACAAUGGGGGAAACCCUGAUGCAGCGACGCCGCGUGAGUGAAGAAGUAUUUCGGUAUGUAAAGCUCUAUCAGCAGGGAAGAAAAUGACGGUACCUGACCAAGAAGCCCCGGCUAACUACGUGCCAGCAGCCGCGGUAAUACGUAGGGGGCAAGCGUUAUCCGGAUUUACUGGGUGUAAAGGGAGCGUAGACGGUUGUGCAAGUCAGAAGUGAAAGCCCGGGGCUCAACUCCGGGACUGCUUUUGAAACUGUGAAACUGGAGUGCAGGAGAGGUAAGCGGAAUUCCUGGUGUAGCGGUGAAAUGCGUAGAUAUCAGGAGGAACACCAGUGGCGAAGGCGGCUUACUGGACUGUAACUGACGUUGAGGCUCGAAAGCGUGGGGAGCAAACAGGAUUAGAUACCCCAGUA
rnacentral:rRNA from 1 species